UGAGGAAUAUUGGGCAAUGCCCGCAAGGGUGACCCAGCAACGCCGCGUGGAGGAUGAAUGUCGUAAGAUUGUAAACUCCUGUUAGAGGGGAAGAAUAGUACCGGUUGGACCGGUAUAUGACUGUACCCUCAGAGAAAGCCCCGGCUAACUACGUGCCAGCAGCCGCGGUAAUACGUAGGGGGCAAGCGUUGUCCGGAUUUACUGGGUGUAACGGGCGCGCAGGCGGGAUAAAAAGUCAGUGGUGAAGUCCUACAGCUUAACUGUAGAACUGCCUUUGAUACUUUUAUUCUUGAGUUCGGGAGAGAGAGACGGAAUUCCAGGUGUAGUGGUGAAAUACGUAGAUAUCUGGAAGAACACCAGUUGCGAAGGCGGUCUCUUGGUCCGACACUGACGCUGAGGCGCGAAAGCGUGGGCAGCAAACA
rnacentral:rRNA from 1 species